CGGGUUGAGAGUGCUGGGCCGCCGCUGGGAGGACGUUCACGGGCUUUUGGCCCUUGCGGGUUGCUGCAGGUUCCUACGGGGCGUGUGGUCUCGAUGGCCGCGCGUGGUGGUUCGCGGGGCUCUGAGUGGGCGGGACCCUACACUAGCGAUAGCUUUAAAGGGAGGAGAACGCGUUAGGGACAACACUGUGCGGGUUAAUUUGGGAAGUGAUGGUUAAAGGUCCUGCCUUGAGAUUGCUUAUUUGUGUUGUUAAUUUUGAUGAGGGUAGAGAUGGAAGCUGCUGCAGUUAACAGUGAGUUCUCAGUCCGGAGGGGUAAAGACACUUGAAUUGUAGGUACUGAUUUUGUUCAGCUAUGGGGGCUUUAUUUUGGCCCUGUGUGCUUCCAUUUGAGCAGUUGGUAGCGGAAUUACUGAUUUUUAAGAACAUCAAAGUUAUUUGAAGACGCGUGGUGAAGGAAGCAUAAUGAGAAGAAAAGGGAGGAAUUCCUUUUUUACCUGGAAGAGUUUCCUUUCUAGAUCGUGGCAAAAGAGAAGGUAUCGGAGACCUAACCUACAAACAUAUACCAAAAAUUGUCUUUGCAAUAUUAUUUUAAUUAAUUUAUUUAUUGGCUGCGUUGGGUUUUCGUUUCUGCACGUGGGCUUUCUCUUGUUGGAACCAGUGGGGACUACUCUUCAUUGUUGUGGGCGGGCUCCUCAUUGCAGUGGCUUCUCUUGUUGCAGAGAGUGGACUUCUAAGCCCGAGGGCUCAAUAGUUGUGCCGCAUAGGCUUGGUUGCUCCAUGACAUGUGGGAUCUUUCUGGAGCAGGGAUGGAACCCGUGUGGCCUGCUUUGGCAGGCAGAUUCUUAUCCACUGCGCCACUUAGGAAGUCCCUUUGCAAUAUAUUUGAUGUUAGCUGGUGCGAGUGAGAUAUUCUGAAUGAAAGUAACUAGGAUGAGGCCUAACGCGGACUUAUUGCAAAUGGACACUUUUAACACAAAUGCUAGAGGCAAAAGGUGCAUAGCGUGGAAUGUUGAAGGCCCUCAGAUGUGCCUAAAUAUCUUGUCCGUUUUAAGCAGGAAAACAAAUCAAGCUGAACUGAAGAAAAAAGAGUCUUUCCCCAAAGGAGGUAGAAGGUGGGGAAGAUGAGAUGUCGGAAGAUAAGGACAAUGGCAGUAGAGAUGAGAUAAGCAUGCCAGUGCUGGGAGCUCUUUUACUGCACACUGAGAAACUUGUCCUGGAGAAAUCAGCACAGGGGGCCUGAGCAGAUCUUGCUCUUGCUGACUGUGCAAUGUGACUGUCACCACCUGGGCACAGGGGGUGACGUCCCUCAGAAGAAUGGUAGGAGGGUUACUAUUGCCCCAGGACAUAAAAUCAGGAAAAAAAGUUUCUGGCUCCCAUGUUUGCUGAGAAAUUAACAUUACCACGCAGAAAGGGAGCCACGGGGGCCAAGUUGCCAAGAGACAGGAGGAGUGCCACGCUCAAGGACCAUGAGAAGAGACGUGAGAGCCCUGAGGAGGAUGAAGAGCCUAUGAAGAAAGCACCUGAUAGAGGGAAGAAGGAAAUGACCAAACAGAAGGCUUCUCCUGAAACCAAAAGCCAGAAAUUAAAAGCUGAACCACCUGUAGCUUCCAAACUGUUUGUUGGAAACCUGAAUUUCAACAAAUCUGUUGCUGAACUAAAAACUGGCCUCGGUGAAUUUUUUACUAAAAACAGUGUCGCAGUUUUUGGUGUCAGAGUCGGCUUGUCUAGGAGAUUUGGCUAUGUGAAUUUUAAAUCUGCUGAUGACCAGGAAAACGCCCUAGAACUUAGUGAGGUAUGAAGUUAAAUUGAAAAACCGAAAGCAAAGGAAACAAAGAAAGAUCGAAAUGCCAGAACACUUUUGGUCAAGAACCUGCCUGACAGAGUCACUCAUCAUGAGUUAAUAGAAGUGUUUGAGGAUGCUUUUCAAAUCAGAUUGGUGAGCAAGGAUAGAGUGAGUGAAAGGAUCGCCUACAUUGACUUCAAGUCACAGGCUGAUGCAGAGAGAGCCUUGGAAGAGAAGCAAGGAACAGAGAUCGGUGGGCUUGCUGUAGUUCUGGACCUGUCGGAGAAAAAAGCCAAGGCCAUGAUGAGAGAGAUGGAAGAAGGAACACCUGGAGAAGUAAGGAUGUUAAAGAAGUGGGAAAACGAAAGUUAGAACAAGAAAGCCACACAUUUCAAGAAAAACGGGAGAGAGCUUAUUUCUUUGUGGAGGUAAAGAACGUUCCUACAUGUUUAAUAUGCAAACAAAGCAUAUUAUAUGUCUGUGUCGAGAGAAUGUAACCUAAGACACCAUUAUGAAAGCAACCAUCGUAAGAACCAUGAUGGUUUUACAGAAAAGAUGUGUGAUAGAAAACUCAGCGAACUGAAAAAAAGACUGAAAUUUCAACAUGAUUUGCUUUUGACUGUGAAUAAAAUAAGUGAUGCUGCUAUGAAAUGCAGUUACGUAUUACGCGAGGAAAUUGCCCGGGCAGCAAAGCCUCUUGCCGACAGCGAGUUUAUCGAGGACUGUCUGUUGAACGCUGCAGAAAUCAUGCACCCUGAGCAGAGACAAGCAUUUGACAACAUAAGACUGACUGGUAAUGUUGUUGCCCAGCAUGUUGACAACACAGCUGAGAACUUACAGAAUAAGUUGCGAGGAAAAGCUGAAUCCUUCGUGGCCUUUUCCAUUGCAGCUCAGGAAGGCAGGGAUGGCAGUAACACCCCACCACGUGGCUGUAUUUAUUCGUGGUGUCAAUGAAACUUUUGAUGUGACCGAAGAACUUCUGGACAUGGUCCCCAUAACAGGCACAACAUCAGGAAAUGAAUUAGUUUUACGUAUUGAGAAAAGUCUUAAAAGAUUUAACGUGGACUCGUCAAAAUUGAUAAGCAUUAGCACAGAUGGUGACUCUGCGAUGGUUGGUGUUAAAAAACUAGUUACAAAACUGAAAUCUAAAGUGUCAGGGCUUUUCCAUGACACAGAACUUAAGUCUGUGCAUGGCCUCAAUCUCCAGGAGUCACUUUGUACUAAAAGGUUAAAAAUGGAUCACAUUAUGGACAUAGUAGUUUCCACCAUAACCUGAAUAUGCACCCAAGGCUCAGACCACAGAAAGUUCAGUGCUUUGUUUAAUGGAUUAGAUGCACAAUACGGAAGCAUGUUCUGCUCCCUGGAACUUAAGUGGCUGAGUCAUGGUAUGGUCCUAAGGCAGUUUUUUGAACUAUUGGAGGAAAUUGACUUUUUCAUGUCUUCCAGAGGAAAAUCUGUGCCUCAGCUUACUAGCAAAGAUUGGGUCAGAGACUUAGCCUUUUUGAUUGACAUUAUGACACACCUAAACAUGUUAGAUAUUUCUCUGCAAAGGCGUUCACAAGUGGUGACACAAAUAUAUGACUCAGUUGGCUCAUUCCUAGCGAAAUUGUGUCUUUGGGAGACUCAUUCGGCAAGGAACAAUCUGGCCCACUUUCCUACGCUGAAAUUAGUUGCUGAAAGUGAAAAUGACAGCCUGAACUACAUUCCCCAAAUUAAAGAGUUGAAGACUGAAUUCCAAAAAAGGUUCUCCGAUUUCAAACUUUAUGAGAAUGAACUAAUAUUGUUCAGUUCCCCUUUCUCAAUUAGUGUUAAUAAUGCGAAUGAAGAGCUACAAAUGGAAAUUAUUGACUUGCAGUGCAACACUAUACUGAAAGCCAAAUAUGAUGAUGUUGGGAUCCCAGAAUUCUACAGAUGUGUUGGGGAUGGUUACCCUAAAUAUAAAAACCAUUGUGCACAGAUUCUAACCAUGUUUGGAAGUGCUUAUGUUUGUGAGCAGCUAUUUUCUGCUAUGAAACUAAAGAAAACUAAAUGUUGCUCCCAGUUAAAGGAUUCAAGGAUGAAUGUUGCAACACAAGAUUCAGAGCCUGACGUUGAGUGACAUCUUGGGGCAUAAGAAAGGAAUGUCAGAUUUUGAAUUUCAAAUCUGAGGAGUAAUAUAUGGAACUUCGAAUAAUUAUUUCUAUUUCCAAAUUAUAUUUUUCCAAUGUCAAAUUUAAAGUACCAUCUGUGGCAUCGUAUGUUUGUACCUUGUAAUAUAUAAAAUAAAGUUUGAUUAUAU